AUGGCCUCUAUUGAUUUCUUCCUUGGCAUUUUUGCUCAUAGCCACUACUGCCACGGCUGCUUAUGAGCCUUACAUUUAUGCCUCACCACCUCCACCGCCUUACUAUUACAAGUCACCACCACCACCAGAAUAUUCUCCACCACCACCUUACUACUACAAAUCUCCACCACCACCUGAGAAGUCUCCCCCGCCACCUUACUACUAUCACUCACCACCUCCUCCUAAGAAGUCACCCCCACCACCUUACUACUAUAAGUCUCCGCCUCCGCCGAAGGAAUAUCCCCCACCACCUUACUACUACAAGUCUCCGCCACCACCGGAGAAGUAUACCCCGCCACCUUACUACUACAAGUCUCCGCCCCCACCCGAGAAGUAUACCCCGCCACCUUACUACUACAAGUCACCGCCCCCUCCGCCACCUUACUACUACAAGUCUCCGCCACCACCGGAGAAGUAUACCCCGCCACCUUACUACUACAAGUCACCGCCCCCACCCGAGAAGUAUACCCCGCCACCUUACUACUACAAGUCACCGCCCCCACCGGAGAAGUAUCCCCCUCCACCUUACUACUACAAGUCACCGCCCCCACCGGAGAAGUAUCCCCCUCCACCUUACUACUACAAGUCACCGCCCCCACCAGAGAAGUAUCCCCCUCCACCUUACUACUACAAGUCACCGCCCCCACCAGAGAAGUAUCCCCCUCCACCUUACUACUACAAGUCACCGCCCCCACCAGAGAAGUAUCCCCCUCCACCUUACUACUACAAGUCACCACCGCCACCAGAGAAGUAUCCCCCUCCACCUUACUACUACAAGUCACCACCGCCACCACCUUAUUAUUAGAAGUCUCCUCCACCUCCCUCUCCAUCUCCACCCCCUCCAUACUACUAUAAGUCGCCAC
rnacentral:lncRNA from 1 species